CCCCUCUCGACCUCAACUGCUUGCCCAAAACCACUUCCUGUGCUAGGGUUUCGCCAUCCGGCAUCGCCUUCGUCGUCGGCCCUUCUACGGCCGCCUAUGGCGCUUCUUCUCCGUCGUCUAUAGCGCCCUCACGCGCGCCCUCGCUUCCUGAUGGUCCACCUCGAGAAGGGCGGCACGGAGGACCUCAUCCCGUAGGAUCCAUGGAUGCGGCGCACCGUGCAGCCACCCGUCCGGGAAGAGGGUGGGCACCGUGGCUUGUCCUGCUCGACGACAGCUGUGGCGAGUGCGUGUGCUGCUCCUCAUCCUCAAACUCCAAGGAGAAGCGCCAGUACAACAGAAGCACACCCCGCCCGUGAACAAUGGCCAUGGCGCUAGGUAAGGUUGUGCUGUUGUGCCUAUAUUGUCGUUAGUAAACAUUUGAUGGGACAAAUUGCUUGUGCUGGAUGUGGUUAGUCUGUAGCUUGGUAAUCUUAUUUUUAAUUUUGGGGAAAAAUUGCUGCUUGUGCUAUCAAAUAUGCACCUUAAUCUGUUAUUGGGCAUGCCAAAUGUUAUCAAGAUCAGUUUCUGUAUUUGUUUCUACACAUGGACAAAAUAAUCUUUUAACAAAUAGUACGACUGAUUGCUGAUGCGCCAUGCUUAUCUGCCUAUAGGAUUCUGCGACAGCCAGCUAACUAGUGCGCCAUACUUAUCUGCCUAAUCGGCUGAUUGGGGGUUCUGUUGGGUUGACAACCAGGUAACAACAUGGGGUUCUGUUGUGCUUUCUUUUCCGCUGAUUUUGUGUAUGAUUUGGGUCAGGACUUGUUAAUUCUAGCUAGGCAAAUUUUAUGAUGAAUUCAUGCUGAAAAUCCAUGGUCAAUCCUCUGACUGUAUUUAUAUCAGCUUCCAACAUUAAUCUCAUUUUGUUAGAUUGGUCCAAGUCUGAAUGUCGGAUUGUGCCUAUAGAAAUACUACAAACUUGUACUCGAACUAAGGGAAAAUGAUUUUGGCAAAAGAUAAGUUAUUGUCUUCCAUCUGUCUAACUUCCAACAACAAAAAAUAGAAAUGCCAUAAGAUCUAAUACCACUGUUCUUCUUUACAUGAAUUUCAAUCACAUUGUGUACAUAUAUCAGCUUCACACCUUUUUCCAAAUGGAUUAUACCUUGUUAUUGUUAAUGAUAAAGCUCCUCAAAACAAUAUAUAUCACCUUUGGUCGAUAUAAAUCACUGUUUUUGGUGCCAUGCUUUGUAUGGCCCCUUGUUUUCUAGUUCGCCUCGGGCCCCUGAAAUUUCAGGACCGGCCUUGAUUGCCAGCAUACUUGAUUGAGGAUGCAAUUCUUCCUUUCCAUUUUUAAGAAGCUAAUGUAAUUUCUGAUAAGUACUGUUGCUAUAGUGCUAGUGCACAACACCAGGAUUUUACAUCACAUUUUUAUUAUGAUACCGUUGCAAAUGAAAUGGCUUCGAUAAUAGACAACUGCUUGCUAAUUGUACUCGUACAAACAAGAUCUCCAUAUCCACAAGGUUGGCCAACUGAUUGGCACCAAGUUCACACCCUCAUAUGUAUCUAGUACUUGUGCUACUUUUUAUUGGCCGGUGUUAGUUGCUAUGAAGUAGGCCGGUGUUAGUUGCUAUGAAGUAGCUAACUGUAGCCAACUCUGGAUGCUUAGCCUCUAGUUAUAAGGAUUACCUGCUGCUGCUUUUGCCACCUCUUAUGUUCCCUGAAUGAAUGGUUAUGUUGCUAUCUAACAUUUCACUUUUGUUUCUUGAUUUCUUGGAUAAUGUUUUUCUCUUUCUUGAGAAUCAUCAUAUUGGAAAGGCUGCUUGUGUUGUCAAAUAUGAACUAUUUAUUACGGUUGAUUUCUGUGCUAGUAAUGCCUAUUGCCUUCUCCACCCAUACAGGACGCCCUCCUCGAAGCAGCCAUCCCCGACGAGCUCUCUUCGCCGGAGGAGAUGGAGCAGCAAGUCCAGCACCCGCUUGGCCCCUGUGUCCUAUCUUGCGUGGACAAGCUCACCAAUGGCUGCGUCUUCCUUCCCUCCUAGCGUGGUGAGCUUCUUCCAUCUCUCGACUUUACCCCCAAAUCUAGAUGACACUUGCAAUCUGAAUACAAAUCAUGUUUUUGUUCAGUUUAGAGGUGGAUUCAGUUUAUGAGAUGUGAGUUUGAUUAGUUACAGAUGGUUUUGCGGGUCUGAUUCUCUUGCACUAUUACACGUUUUGUUUUGAUGUUUGCCUUUGUUACCAGAAUAAAAGUAUUACUUAUGUUAUUUAUUCUUACAGUGGGUACAGAAGUUCUCCCCUUGACUUUUUAUACUUUCUCUGAGUUUCACAUACUUUAUAUUUCGCAGCACAUGAGAUUGCAUCAUAGGAAAUUUAGAAUGUUUUCAUAGUAUGAUUGAUUGUUGCACUACUUUGCAUUGCGGGAGUGAAAAAAAUAUAUGACUUGAUUGCAUGUACUCCCUUUGUUCCUAAAUAUAAGUCUUUUUAGAAAUUUUUAAUAUGGACUACAUUCGAAGCAAAAUGAGUGAAGGGAGUAAUUCAUAUUCAAAUCUCUAAAAAGAGGAACAAAGUGAGUACUAAGUUAAUUCUAGUUUAACAUACUGGCUAUAAUAUUUUAUAAUGUGACAUAUUUUUUAUCACAUGGCAGAUAUUGGUUUAUGGAGUAUUUUCAGCAACGAAGACAUUUGUUCUCACGACUUUGGUGUGGAGGGGUGGAUAUAAUGUCUAGGAACAUUGGAUGACCUGUGGUUGACGUCCGAUGAGCGUUGGGCCUCGCUUUGAUGGCUGCGAUGCUGGUUGUGGAGUAGCAUAGUGGUCUUCAAGACGUGCUUGUAAAACUAAUCUUAUUUGGGUCUUUUUUUUGCUCAUGUAUAGGUAUUUUCUAGUGUGUUUAUGUAAUUUUCUUUUUUUAAUGAGAUGAGAUAUUUUUUGUCAAAUUCUUAUUACCUUAAAUUUUCAUGGACCAAGAGAAAUGAGGGAUGGGCUAAUGUCACUGGAGUGAAAUUAGCGGGCCGUAUCUUAAUAUUUAAAUUCUAAUAAUUGGGUUGAUUACUGUAUGGGCC
rnacentral:lncRNA from 1 species